UACGUAGGGGGCAAGCGUUAUCCGGAUUUACUGGGUGUAAAGGGAGCGUAGACGGCGAUGCAAGCCAGAUGUGAAAGCCCGGGGCUCAACCCCGGGACUGCAUUUGGAACUGCGUGGCUGGAGUGUCGGAGAGGCAGGCGGAAUUCCUAGUGUAGCGGUGAAAUGCGUAGAUAUUAGGAGGAACACCAGUGGCGAAGGCGGCCUGCUGGACGAUGGCUGACGUUGAGGCUCGAAAGCGUGGGGAGCAAACAGG
rnacentral:rRNA from 1 species